GAACUUAAGAGGCCCAAAGAAGAGUCUCUCUCCCAACAAUAUCAUGACAUGAAUUUGCUUCAAAAAAUCCAUUGAGAAAUGAGGGUUUGCCUGUCCUCUGCCAAGUGAAUGUGUCUUCACAUAAGCCAACAACAUGAGGUCCAAGGUCUUCGAUGUAUCUGCUAAGAAUCCUGAGAUGUCAUUGUACAGCUGUGAAAAGUUAAUCUCCCCAGGAAAGAACCUAACACAGUCCUGCAUGAGGAUGUAUUCAAUAAAAGGAUGAAUGGCUGAAUGUCCGAAUCAGCUCCUUUUAUUCCUGUGCUGCUGGAGGUUAAAAUAGCAACUGCUGCACCACUCUCUUCCCAUGUGCCUGCCAAAGGAGUAUCAGGUAUUGGGACUUAUCUGAAACCAUCAAGGAAUCACAGUAUUUGCUAACUCCACUAGAAAACCCCUCCUUAAAAGGAAUGCUUCACAAGUGACAGAGCCCUUAACUUGGAGCUGGAAGAUAGAAGUUUGAAUUACAAUUGGUCAUUUUACUUCUCAUUUUACUUCUUUAAGCCUCCAUCUUCUAAUCUGUGAAAUGAAGGCAUUGACCUAUGAUGUAUAGGAUCCCUAGCAGUUAAUGUUCUAUGUUAUCUAUAUAUGUCUGCCUAUCUAUCCAUCCAUCCAACCAAACAUACAUACAUGUAUGUGUGUAUAUAUUUUUAAAAUUUUUUUAGUGAAGAAAGGACCCAGGUGCUAGGCCUUGAGAUGCUAGUAUGACAAAAUCUGGUUUUGUUUGCCUGUUUUGUAAAAACUGAAAGUCUUAUAGGAAACCCAGCCAACAUGCUUUUCCAUGCCCACAAACACUCUCUGUGGCUAAACUGGGAAAAUCAAAAGCAUGAAAACCCAAAAGAAAAAUAGAAAAUAAUGAAAGUAUCUCUCUACAUGUGGCUUUUAUUAAU